GACGAACGCUGGCGGCGUGCUUAACACAUGCAAGUCGAACGGAAAGGCCCUGCUUUUGUGGGGUGCUCGAGUGGCGAACGGGUGAGUAACACGUGAGUAACCUGCCCUUGACUGUGGGAUAACUUCAGGCAACUGGGGCUACUACCGGCUAGGAGCUCCUGCUGCAUGGUGGGGGUUGGAAAGUUUAGGCGGAUGGGGAUGGACUCGCGGCUUAUCAGCUUGUUGGUGGGGUAGUGGCUUACCAAGGGUUUGACGGGUAGCCGGCAUGAGAGGGUGGCCGGCGACAUUGGGACUGAGAGACGGAGCAGAGGCCAAUGGGAGGCAGCAGGGGGGAAUAUGGUACAAUGGGCGGAAGCGUGAUGCAGCAACGCCGCGUGCGGGAUGACGGCCUUCGGGUUGUAAACCGCUUUCGCCUGUGACGAAGCGUGAGUGACGGUAAUGGGUAAAGAAGCACCGGCUAACUACGUG
rnacentral:rRNA from 1 species